rnacentral:tRNA from 1 species
GCCCGACUAGCUCUGUUGGUAGAGCAUGAGACUCAUAAUCUCAGGUCCUCCAUGUUGGAGGUUGGGCA